rnacentral:rRNA from 1 species
GACGAACGCUGGCGGCGUGCUUAACACAUGCAAGUCGAACGGUGACGAGGAGCUUGCUCCUCUGAUCAGUGGCGAACGGGUGAGUAACACGUGAGUAACCUGCCCCAGACUCUGGGAUAACAGUUGGAAACAGCUGCUAAUACCGGAUACGAGACGGAGAGGCAUCUCUACCGUCUGGAAAGUUUUUCGGUCUGGGAUGGACUCGCGGCCUAUCAGCUUGUUGGUGAGGUAAUGGCUCACCAAGGCGACGACGGGUAGCCGGCCUGAGAGGGCGACCGGCCACACUGGGACUGAGACACGGCCCAGACUCCUACGGGAGGCAGCAGUGGGGAAUAUUGCACAAUGGGCGAAAGCCUGAUGCAGCGACGCCGCGUGAGGGAUGACGGCCUCGGGUUGUAAACCGUCUUUCUAGCAGGGAAGAAGCGAAAGUGACGGUACCUAGCAGAGAAGCACCGGCUAACUACGUAGCCAGCAGCCGCGGUAA